rnacentral:rRNA from 1 species
CUGCUCAAUGAAAAUUUUAAAUAGCUGCAGUAUUUGUGACUGUACAAAGGUAGCAUAAUAAUUUGUUUUUUAAAUGAAAACUAGAAUGAAAGAUUUAAUGAAAUAUAAACUGUUUCAAUUUAAUAAAAUAUUAAAUUUAUUAUUUAAGUAAAAAAACUUAAAUUUUUUUAAAAGACGAUAAGACCCUUUAGAAUUUAAUUAAUUAAUUUAUUAUAAAUAUAAUUUAUUUAAUUAAAUUUAAUAAAUUAUAUUAAUUUUAUUGGGGUAAUUAAAAAAUUAAAGAAAUUUUUUUAAAAUUAAACAAAAAUUUUUGAAUAAAAAAUCUUAAUUAUUUGAAUUAUUAAAAUUAAUUACCUAAGGGAUAACAGCAUAAUUUUUUUAAAAAUUAAAUUUUUAAAAAAGUUUAUGACCUCGAUGUUGAAUUAAGAUAAAAUUUUAAUUUAAAGAUAUUAUUCUGUCACUUCGACU